rnacentral:lncRNA from 1 species
UUGACGGAGAAUCAGCAGGCGGGCGGGCGAUUGGAGGUCAUGGAGGUUGGGGGACGGAGUCGACCGGCCGGAGUGUGCGAUGGGGACAACGGCGUCGAUUCGGCAGGUAGGUCAAAGGAAUCAUCUGCUGCAACGAGCAACUUCGACUUCAACCUGCAGGUGGAUUAAGCAGAGCAAGCACGGAAGUACAACCAUCCUGCCUAGGGUAGUUGCGCCCCAGGUUCGUAUUGCUCCUGAACAUUGUGUUGUGAUCUCUCAUGUAUUGGUCCAAAAAUUGCUCAAAUUCAUUGAUCCCAAUCUCAUGGUGUAAUUUGAUUUCUUGUGGCUUAAUUGGUGUAAAGGUUUUGCAUCUGGUUGCAAACCGCAGGAGCUCUGCUCCAUGGUAGGAGCAGAGCACUGGCGGAGGGUCGCAGGUGUAUUAUCGUCGAUUAGGUCCAUUCCACCGUCAGAUAGAGCGAUUUCAGAAAGAAAAGUCGCCUCGUCCAUGAAGUUGUCUGCCUCGCAGAGGGCCCCGUCAGUGCUGGGCGUCGGUCGUCGAUGACCUGAUAGCUUAUCCUAAUUUCUGAAUUGCAGACCUCCAUCUCUGCUCACAACCGAUGGUUGGAGUGGAUGUAUGUGGCAUGCCCGCAGCUCAGCGUCCUAGUCAACCCACACCGGCGAGCCGCGCAGGCACCUAUGGCUUCUCUGUGUUUGAAGCCACACCGCCCGCACACAUCUCACUCAUGCCGGCAGUGCAAGCCGAACCCGACAUCAUAGCACACUCGCCAUGGACCCUUGUUUUGGUUAGGUAUAUGUUCAGUGCGUCCAAGUUGGUUGACUGAAAUUUUCCCCAGUCAUUAGGGGUGGUCUUUUUUGUUGCAGCACCAAAAUUUACUAACCACAAUGCCCAUAUUUGUGCGAACUUGUCAUAUCUGAUUCUUUUGUGUCACUGUGUGAAAAAUAACAUAUAUUCCUUAUAUUGUGUUUAUCGGCAUGGUCAAUUUGUUAACUGAUGACAUGUUCAAUUGGUCAUCUCUAAUUACCCCCUUUCAUGCAUAUUGUGUGCUCUAACAUGGAGUUGCCCCCCCUCUUUAUUUUGGUCCCACUCCACCACAGGAGCAGAGUAACUAGUAACACACAUUAAGCCACAUCAAACCAACUCAACAGAGGGUUGUGCCAAUGCGCCUUUACCACAUGAACAUGUGAUCACUAAGGUGUGUCAACUAACCUGUACUCGGUUAUCAAUUAUCUCCUGCCAGUAAUUUUGGGAUUGGUUGAACCCUUAUAGUAGUCAAAUAUUGGAAAGCUAUCUUAUCAUCAAGUAAAAAAUGUGUGAAAUGUUAACCUUUUGGUUUGCAACUAUAACCUGUUUGGGUUCAUAUAUACCCUCCAAGUAAUCUUAACCUACGUGCAAGCACUUGUCCAGCUUUUUAUCAAUGAUGAUGAUGACAUCUUUUCCUAUUAAAUUGCAGAAUGCCCAUGCUGAAAAUAAUCUUCCAGUGCAACAAGGUGGUCCUGAACCAAGUUUAUGACUUCACCAAGUCCAUAAGAAGGUAAACAUAUGCUACAUAUCUAAAUGACAAUGAUUGUACAAGAGGUUGUCUAAUUUUGUAUGUAAGUGCAAGGUAAAUGACAUUAUGAAACACUAAUCCCAUUUUGACAAGCAUGUUUCAAAUACUGUCAUGACACCAAUAGCAGAUCAUAUGUCAGAUUCAACCAAGUACUAAAAAAUUGUAUUGCAUACAACAGUAACAUGAUUUUUCCCGAUGGAACCAAAAGUUAAGUCACACACAUAUCAUUGCUGCUCCAAGAGAUCUCGUAUUCAAAGAAACUAAUUAAUCACUUUUGAAUUGAUACAUGAGUACUAAUAAAACACCAACCUUGCAUACAUGUACUUUUUGGUGGAAACCUUGCAUAGAUGUUGAGGAACACCUGUCCCUUGAAUAUUAGGUGAACUCUCUUUUUAGUGUAUAAAUUAACAUGACGUGAACUUCAUUUGUUUGCAUGUUGCAUUCACGCUUAGUUUUCACAAUAAAUAUUUUCUUAAUAAGACCUUAAUCUAAUCUGAUAGCAAAGUGUGCAGACAGAAGGUACGUGUAGAAUAAAGCUCACUUACUGCAUGUAUCAGAACUCUUCAAAACUAUCAUUCUUUAUUAUAGUUGAUCAUGUGUCUCCCUUCACAUGUAUUCCUAUUUAAUUGUAGAAUGCUCAUGCUCAAAACAGCAAUGCACCAAGCUACAUGGUCAUCACCAAGUCACUAAGCAGGUACAUAUAGGCUCGAUGUCUAAAUGACAAUGAUUGUUUAAUAGAUAGUUGAUCUAAUUAUUUUUGAAAUUGUUCUUAUUUCUGUAAAAUGAAAUCUGCUCAGGUUCAUCAAUAACAAAAUUUUCAUUUCUUGAAAAAUAGGAUAAAGUUGAAGUCGUGUUGUAUUCGAUGAACUCGAGAAACAAAGACAAACUCGUGGCCAAUGGAACCUUAGUGAGUAAAGAGAAAACAUAUGUGGUUGGAGGAAACAUGCUUGGAGUGCAAUAUAUUGCAGUACUUAUUCGCGGCUGUAUAUAUCUAGGAGAUGAGAAACUAGUUAGACCAUAUGAAAAAUUGCAAACAGUAAGGGAUGCUAUGAGUUCUUUUAUUGCUUGGCCUCGCUCAUAUGUCAGUAUGCUUCCAUUCAAGCAUUGGGUAUGCUCCAAUAUGCACAUGUGUGAUGUGUUAUUUACCUGGAAUCUUUCUUUUUUUACGUAAAAAUAGUUAAGCCAACCCCUCCUGCACAACCACAAAGCAUUGGUAGGAUACAAUUCUUAUAAUUUUAUCAAAGAAUCUCUUAUCUUACACUUCUGUAUAAACAUAUGUUCAUGCAAAUGUUGUUCAUUCUCCUUUUCAGGGCAGUGAGGAUUUGAAAAGUGAGUGCAUAAAAAAAGCUAGGAGUGGCUGGGUACUUGAGGAUUUGAAAAGGGAGCGCACUGGAGGAGUCAGGAGUAGUUGAUGAAUAUUUCUUUGAAUGAACAAAAAUUCUAAAUUAUGUAUAGAUUGUAGCUUAAUAGAGAAAAAUAGUUCCAGUCUAUAGGAUCUUUUCUUAUUUAUUUUUCAUAUGAAUGUUUGAUGUUAUUCAGCUGUGAACUCCAAAUACUUUCAGUGGAGACAUUGUUCCUGCUAAUUAAUGCAUUGGAUGUUGUUACUGAGGUUGCCAAUGUUUGCAAAUGCAAUCUAUGACAUGGAAUGAUGCCUUCG